GUAAUUUUAGUGUUCCUAUACUAUUAUUUCGGCUAUUAAGAUCCAAAACUCUCAACACAGAUUUAACUAAUAUUUUUAAAUAUACGUACAAUUUAUACACAAAAAUUGUUAAGAAAUUAGUGGUUUCAACAUAUGUACGUGGUAUUACAAUAAUACGUCUUAUCGAUAUUUAAAGAGAGAAUUCAAGAAUGGGAUGUAUGGAAAUACCUGGAGCCCUUUCCAACGCACCCCGAAUAGCGUUAGUCACGGCCAAUGUAAGGAACCAAGAGGGUGGCAGUAGGGCAGCAGAAAAAUCGGAAACCACCGAAAUUACUACGGAAAUGGAUGAAGUUAAAAAGAUAAGAAAGUCGGAAAUUAUCCCAAGGAUACGUCUGUUAGUUUCCAAUUGAGGGUACUUUUGCAACUGUUUCGCAGAAGGCAAUGUUGGUAGUAACUGCUAGUAAUAAAUGGAUGUUCGUGAGAUUACAGAAAUUAGAUCCGAAGAAAAUCAUGUUGAGUUUCUGAAAAAUGGUAUCUAAAUAUGUAGAUCUGAUGAAAAUUGUGAUGAAUUUCUGAAGCAUACCUAGUAUAAAUUUAUUGCACACAAUAUCGUGUAAUUAAUAAUGCAAUUGGUAAACGGAUUGAAUGAUGUUGAUUGUAAAGAUUUUGUAAGUUUCACUGAAUAUUUUGCAGGAGAGAGCAUGAUGAUAAGAAUCGAGAUCUAUGUGUAGGUAAUGCCAUUUGUACUUGCAGUGACAUGGAAAAAGGAAUAGACAAUGCAGGAUAAUAUUUUUUCAUUUGAAGCUUCAUUUUCCAAGAUAAUAGUGGGUUAAGUUUAGGUUGGACUGCAUAAAAAUGUGGCUAUCUGCUCCAAAAUGAAAUGUAAUUAUAACAUAAAUUGUAUUAAAGCUUUUUGCGAAUAUCUCGGAAACUAAAGCCAAGUAGCGAUAAUAUGUAUAAAAAAGUUGUCCAGAAUGAUGACCUCGACACAUCUCAAAAUCAUGAAAAUCGGUGAACUGUGUCCUCUUAUAUGUAAUUUCUUAAAUAAGUUUUAUAUUUACAUAAUGAAAAAUAAUACGAUAUAUAUCUCAAUCUUUAUUAUUUACUUACUAAUAGUAUUAACAAGAACAUUGUUAUUGUUAACAAAACAACAACGUAUGAUUCGUAUCAUUCAUUUCCAUAAUGUAUUAUUCAAGGCUCGAACAAUUUCUCUAAAUAGUAUAACAUGAAUAUAUAUUAGCAGAUGAUAUAAUGUAGCUUUGUAAAUUUGGACAGUAAUACGGCUGAAAAUUGAGCUGACGAAGCUAAAACUUGUGGUUGUUUGAAACUAGCAACGUAUCUAGAUAUGCAUGCGUUCAAUUGCAUGCACUGGACAAAUUUCAUCGAUUAAAUCCGAAACUAAACGUAAUAUUCGAAUUAUAACUUGGAACAAUGUUUACAAGAACUACAACAAUCUAAAACAACCUUCAAGUGCUCGAUUUUCAAAAAAAUGGGCCUAGUAAGAAAUCACUUUUUUUCGUGAUAAAUCAUUAUUUGUUUGGAACAAUCUUGGACUAAUGUAGAGCAACUUGCAACAACAAUAAAAAAUCUGCCUCCUCAAAUUACCUGAUAUGUAAAAUAAUGCAUAUAAGUUUUUGUUACUAUAAUUAUAGAAUUAUAUUCUUGAUAGCAUCGAAGUAGAUUUAGUUGAAUGAUAGCAAUAGUGAGCAUUGGAUAAUUCGUAGGAAUAAAUAAAUAUUAGAAUUUUAUCUAGAAAUAUAAAAUCUUUAUAUCUGGCGUUGUCUGUGAAAACAUUCAUUAAGGAUACGUUCGUUCGCCGAUUAACACUAGAACUACCGAUAGUUAACA